CCCUGGGGCGGGGCGCGGCGACGGGGCGCGGCGGGCUCCCUCGGGGUCCCAGCUGGCCGGCACUCGGCGGCCGCGGCGCGAUGGAGGCGCCGGCCGAGCUACUGGCCGCGCUGCCUGCGCUGGCCACCGCGCUAGCCCUUCUGCUCGCCUGGCUGCUGGUGCGGCGUGGGGCGGCCGCGAGCCCGGAGCCUGCCCGCGCGCCCCCGGAACCUGCGCCCCCGGCCGAGGCCACUGGGGCCCCGGCUCCGUCCCGCCCCUGCGCCCCCGAGCCGGCGGCCGCGCCCGCGGGGCCGGAGGAACCUGGAGAGCCCGCGGGGCUGGGGGAGCCCGGGGAGCCUGCGGGACCGGGGGAGCCCGAAGGGCCAGGGGAUCCCGCGGCGGCGCCAGCGGAGGCGGAGGAGCAGGCGGCGGAGGCGAGGCAGGAAGAGGAGCAGGGCUUGGAUGGUGAGAAGGGGCCAUCGUCGGAAGGGCCUGAGGAGGAGGACGGAGAAGGCUUCUCCUUCAAAUACAGCCCCGGGAAGCUGAGGGGAAACCAGUACAAAAAGAUGAUGACCAAAGACGAGCUGCAGGAGGAGCAGAGAGUUCAGAAGGAACAGCUGGCUGCCAUCUUCAAGCUCAUGAAAGACAACAAGGAGACGUUUGGCGAGAUGUCCGACGGCGACGUGCAGGAGCAGCUCCGGCUCUACGACAUGUAGACUGCACCCACGGGAUGCACAGCGGCCAUGCCUGACGCUGUCCCCACCCUUGCCCCAUGCCCUUGUUCUUUCCAGACUUCUGUAGGCCUAAUUUUCCCUUAUAAACAUAGAUGCAGGCGUACAGUCUAUACGUACUUGCCGAGUUCUUGCAAUGUGUAUAUUACUUUGCAAGAAUCAAAAUUGUUUUAUUCGGAGGACAGAGUCCCUGACCCCUCUGGUUUCUGCUUGCUGGUGAGGUUCCAGCUGUUAUCGGGCUCUGAGGCCCUCUCCUGAUCCAAAUUUUUGUUUGUUUGUUUGUUUGUUUGAGAUGGAGUCUCACUCUGUCUCCCAGGCUGGAGUGCAGUAGCGUGAUCUUGGCGCACUGCAACCUCCACCUCCCAGAUUCAAGCGACUCUCCUGCCUCAGCCUCCCGAGUAGGUGGGAUUGCAGGCAUGCACCAUCACACCUGGCUAAUUUUGUAUUUUUAGUAGAGACAGGGUUUUGCCAUGUUGGCCAGGCUGGUCUCGAACUCCUGACCUCAGGUGAUCCGCCCACCUUGGCCUCCCAAAGUGCUAGGAUUACAGGCGUGAGCCACUGUGCCCAGCCCAUACUACACUCUUAUUUUGCCUUACGAGGAUUUCUGGAAGCUUCUGUAACUGUAGGGAAGCAAGCUGUAGGGGAGCAUUCUUGGUUUUUUUGUUUUGUCUUGUUUUGUUUUUGUUUUUGUUUUGAGACAAGGUCUCACUCUGUCACCCAGGCUGGAGUGCAGUGGUGCCAUCAUGACUCUGCAGCCUUGACCUCCCAGGCCCACAAAAUCCUCCUGCCUCAGCCUGAGUAACUGGGACUACAGGUGUGUACCACUACAUCCAGCUAGAGGAGAGCGUUUUUUUCUUUUUUUUUUUUUUCCUUUUUGAGACAGAGUUUCACUCUGGCGCCUGGUCACUGUGCCCUUCACCUUCUGGGUUCAAGUGAUUCUCCUGCCUCAGCCUCCGUAGCAGCUGGGAUUAUAGGCACGCACCAUCAUACCCAGCUACUUUUUGUAUUUUUAGUAGAGAUGGAGUUUCAUGAUGUUGGCCAGGCUGGUCUCGAACUCCUGACUUCAGGUGAUCCACCUGCCUCGGCCUCCUAAAGUGCUAGGAUUACAGGCAUGAGCCACCAUGCCCAGCCGGGAGUGUUCUUUCAGCAAAAAGUCUAAUUCAGAGACUCACCUUCCAUCCUGGCACUAAACAAUAGUACUAGAGGAAUGACUCGUGUACUUGAGUCAAAAUCCUCAUGGCAUUGGGAAAAGUAAACUGAAGGAAUUUUUGUAUACUUGUACCAGCUAAGAUGUUCUGACUGCAACGACAGAAAACUCCAACUCAACUGGCUUAAACAAGAACAGGGCUGUCUCACAUGAGAAGCCAAAAUUUAGAACAACUCCAGGCCCAAAAUGGUCAGGGCUCAAGCUGCAGUUCUCUUAGCUCAGUCUUCCUCGUACUGUGGGCUUUUAUUGGAGACUAGUUCUCCUCAUGGUGGCAAGAUGGCUGCAGGAGUUCAGGUAUCUCAUCCAGAAGCAAUAAAAGGGCAUGUCUUGCUUGCGUCUCUAGGCAUAAGGGAACUGGUCCAGAUGUCCCCGCCCCACAUCCCUUCAGAUCCCAAUUGGCCAGAAUAUGGCAUGUGCCCAUGUUUCAACCAAUCAUGGGCAAGGAGAUGGGACCAGCAUGAUUGGCCUAGGCCCCUGGAGCCUGGGGCUGGGCCCAGCAUCCCCUGAACACAUGGCCAUCUGGAGGAGAAGGUAACUGAAUUUCACUGGGGAUCUGUGAUAAAAGGGAGCAUGGGUGUUAGGGAGACACCUGUUCCACUUGAGUUUCCUGUGAGGUCCAGGACAGGGCUUGGUGGGCACUCGGAAGCCAGUGUCUGAAGUGCUCAGCCUCCUCCUCUUCCUCGGGUGGUGGGUGUCCACUGCCCAGGCCCCACCCCUGGCCUUGGACACUUCAUGGAAACACUGCUGGUUUGCUAUGGUGUUGGGUGGCUCCUGUCUAUUCCCCGUAAGUGCUGGCCUCUGUUGACACCAUUUCUGCCACCUCAUCUGAGAUUGCUCUCAUCAGCUCACAGAGAUUCAUUUCAGUGAAUGAACCAAAUCUAAGCUAAAAAGCACAAAAGAGGGCAGAAAGAAACAGCAGUGUGGGAGAAAGAGCGCAAACACCGAGAGAAAGUUGUCUACCUGGCAGCCAUGUCAGAGAAUCACCAGUAUGUAUGUCACUGCCACCAAGAACCUAGAGCCACAGAGGCCUACAGAAGCCAAUCCCAAUGGAACUCUCGCUGGGUGUGGGGCUUGAGAGAACCUAAAACAUUCAGCUGCACAGAGCCUUUUCCAGCGAUGGGAACCAGUCUCAAAGCCUUUGCAUCUCUCCCGUGCCCUCCCUCCAUCACUCUGCUGAGAACCCUGCCCCAGGCUGGCCUGCCUACAUGACACAAAUAGCAGUGGACUGCCACUCGUCAGUAUCUGCAGUUCUGCUUACCAAAGCCUGCUUGCUAGAGACUUUUUGGGGCCUCCUUCCCUCAAAGUGUCCAUUGUACCUCCAUCUGGACACAAUUAGCUGGCUCCCCACUUCCUGGACUGACAGUAACCACCUUUUCCAAUGACCCUGAAGAAAACAUGCAAUCUAAGCUGCUUUACAAGUAACCUAAAACUGAGGACAAAUUUUCUAUCAACUCCCAGUACCCCUCUCUGCUGUGGCUGAUUUGUUACUGGUUUUCCUUUUUUUUUAUUUGAAAAUGUAAAUAAGUAUACUAAGACCAGAUCACUCUGAGAUUGUUUUAUUCUAAUUUGUCCUAAGGACCUGCCUGUACUUAGAGCCUGAUACAAAGCCCAAGUUGAUCUACUGGGCAGCUCUCUGGGCCUGGAAGGAAGAGCACAAGACAAGACUUCAACAGUAAGCAUGGCUAGGUCCAGGCAGACCAUGAUUUCUGAAGGCAACAGCAUGGUCCACAUGGAAUCAGGCUGCUGAAGAACAGCAGCGAGAGGCUGCCUGUGAAUCACACCUAAGUGGGAGUAUCCACGCCUAGUCUCUACUUCUCACUGCAGGAGAGGUGGCAGAUGAGGAGGUUUCCUACUUUAAAGCAGGUAGAAGUUGUUUCCUUUCUUCCCUCCUCACAGCCUUGAGGGGGAGGUUGUGCCCAGCCUGACGGCAGCUGCCUUGCCCAAGAUUACAUCCUGUUCUGGGGGCAGCCCACCUCCAAACCAAGUCACUAGUGGGGUACAAAGUCCUGCCCUGUCUGCCAAAAGCACAGUGCUGAUGGACCAUUCCAGUUCUAGAGUUCCCAAGGAGACGUCUUUUUGGAGAGGGGCAGGGUACCAGAAAUCCUUCACUCAGGCUAUAGCAUGGCCUCCAGUUAUAAGUAACUUGAGGCCCACCCAGCCAAACAUGCCUUUCCGGGUCUAGUGCUGGGUUCCAGAACAGGAAGCCUGGCACAUUCCUAUUGCCACAGAUUCUUUUUACUAUUAUUAUUGUCACCUUAUUUUUCUUUUGGUGGAACCCCUCUAGGGCUUCCACCAGAUUCUCCACCAUUUAUGCUAUCAAUUUUAUCAGUUUUGGUUUAAUCGUUUCAGUGCUUCUUUUUGCUAACGGUAACAGCCAAUAUACAUCAUCUCUGGACACAGAUCACGCCAUAGAAAAUAUUGUCGUUUUCCUCAUUUUUCUUAACGCCACAGAGUCAGCUGGGCUGUAGUACCAGCCCGGAUGUACCAGUUUACUCAGCCACUCCCCCUCUCAUGGACAUCUGCAUGGUUUCCAGUCUUGCAAAUUCAUACAGUGCCACUACAAAUAAAACCUUGCACGUA